CUCCCAUCCACAGGUGGAGUCUGAGUCCCCCUCCUCCAUCCUGGGUGGGACUUUGUAAUUACCUGCGUGAAGAGAAUGAGUCAGACGUGAUGUUAAUUGUCUUCUGAGGCUGGGUCAUAAAAGGCGAUACAGCUUCCACCUGCGAUGCUCUCCCUUCGAGCCCAGCUGCCGAGCUGUGAGCAAAUCCAAACCAGCCCGUGCGAGAGGCUGCAUGGUGGGGGCUCAUGGGGAGAGGAACCGAGGCCCUCAGCCGAUGACCAACAUUAUCCCCCAGCCCCCAGCCUCUGAGUCCUCCCGAGGAGGGUCCAGACGACACAGAGCAGAGACAAGCUGUCCCCGCUGUCUGAAUUCCUGACCUGCAGAAUCUAUUCCCACCCAUUUCCAGACUCUCUGGACGUUGAAUUCAAUUCAACAGCUGUCAGAAGACUUUCUGUGAGUCCGGGACUGUUCCAGCCUGAGGGGAUAAGAAGGAAGUCAAGAUGAGCCCCUGACACUCGCAGGUUGGAGGUGGGGGGCACAUCCGAGCUCAGCAUCGCCACCCUUCCUCCUCUGGCCACUGCAUGUAUCGCUCUGAUGUGUCUCUGAAGAUGGGGACCCUGCCUCUCUGGAUGGCUGUCAUCAGCUGCCUUCUCCUGGAAUAAAUGCUUUUGUGGAAGCAGAGGACCUUGAGAAACCACGAUAAAGGCUCUUGCCCGCCAGUUCCCGUUCUCCCUCUGCUUCCUGACCAACCCCAGUGCUUCCCCGUGUGCCCCUCCCCCCGCGGCCUAGCCUGCCCCCUCCUCUUGGGAUUUCCUGGUCCUGAGGGGUGGAGAGUCAAAGUCACCAGGAAACAGAGGGUUCUCAGCCAGCGCUAUUGUGCUCACCUGUAUCAGGAAGCGGAGCUUCUGAGUUAUCGUUAAAGUGAGGAAAUGUCAUUAUUUGUUUGAACCUUCUUCUCGUCAUAAUCUUUGGAAAGGUUAUUAUAUUCAAUAGUUACACCUGACACACCUGUAAAGUCUUCUAAUUUUCGUGAAAUGUGAAGUCUUCGAAUUUUCAAUCCACUCUUCUGUAGAAGCAAAGGAGCAUUCUCCAGCACCGUGAGUUUCAUUUUCAUUUUCCGUAUCAGAAUCAAUCACUAAGGUUUUUUGUCUUUUGUUUGGUCUAAUAUUCACAUUGUCUGAAUCAGAACUAUAUUCUGAAGAACUGUCAUCUUCUGAGAUGCUAGUAUAUAUGUUGCUCGGACAAUCAGAGAAAGUAUUGGUAUCUGCAUAAAAUUCACCAGGAAAUUUUUCUUCACUCCAAACUUUGCGACGCGUCAUUUUUGAAAAUUUUACGGUAGUAAACUUGCAUUUAUAAUAUACACAAGGUUGGAACAAAAACCUAAAGGAGCAAAAUGUGAAUGAUAGUGAGAAUCAUAAGUUGUAUAAUGGACCCUUGAUCAAUUUCAAGCUCUGACAGCUUCGCAUGGUGAUGUUAAUUGUAUCACUCUCUAAAAACGUAUUGAUAUGUCUCCGGUCAAUAAGGUUCGGGUAGCAAAAGAUGUAUUAAUACGUCUCCAGUCAAUAGAUUGUUAAUUGACUAUAGUGUAGUGUAAACGUAACUUUCAUAUGCAAUGGCAAACCAAAAAUGGGUGUGACUUGCUUUAUUGUA